CUUUUCUUUUGCAGGUCCAGAUUGUCCAGGAUUUUAAAUUUGUCCGGUGGGAUUUAAAAAGGAAAGCGAUGCCAUGGAUUUAUAAGAAGCAUCGUUGGGGAGGUUCGUAUAUGUCAGUAGGGAUAUUUUCAUUAUACCGCUACUAUUAUAAAGGUCGAAUUUGAGGGUCACAAUUUUGACCUUUUGCCGGGCCGGCAGCGCCACACCCAGAAUUCAGAAGGGCGAGGGGGCAUACCGACUUGGAAACGGCAUCAAAACAUUAUACGUUUUUAAUGUUUUAGGUGCCAAAACAUCGUUUUCCGUUGCGCUGAGACGGGAGGGAUGUUUACAGUAUACUGUUGCUGCCAGGAAAAAAGUCGAAUUUAGGGGUCAUGCUUUUGACCUUUUGCCAGGCCAGCAGCGCCGCGCUUAGGAUUCAGAAGGAAGAGGGGGCAUCCUAGCAUGGAAACGGCAUCAAAAAAUUAUGCGUUUUUAAUGUUUUAGUUGUCAAAAACUUCGUUUUUCGAUUUCGUCUAGCAGGGAUAUUGUCAGUGUUUUCGUUGCUGUCGGAAAAAGGUCGAAUUCAAGGGUCAUGAUUUUGACCUUUUGCCGGGUCGGCAGUGCCUCACCCAGAAUUCAGGAGGACGAGGGGGCAUUCCAACAUGGAAACGGCAUCAAAACAUUAUACGUUUUUAAUGUUUUAGGUGCCAAUAACAUCAUUUUUCGUUGCGUCGAGUCGGGAAGUAGUAAUUUGCGUGGUUUUACGCUUUUAUUAAUUUAUUUUGUUCUUUUUCAAGGAUGUUUUCAGUAUACUGUUAUUUCCAGGAAAAAAGACGAAUCCAAGGGUCACGCUUUUGACCUUUUGCCAGGUCAGCAGCGCCGCGCUUAGGAUUCAGAAGGACGAAUGGGCAUCCCAGCAAGGAAAUGGCAUCAAAACAUUAUGCGCUUUUAGUGUUUUAGUUUCCAAAACUUCGUUUUCCGUUGCGUCUAGUAGGGAUAUUAUAAUUGCUACCGGGAAAAAAAGUUGAAUUCAGGGGUCACGAUUUUGACCUUUUGCCGGGUCGGCAGCGCCGCACCAAGGGUCAAUAAAAUCGAGGGUGCUUCUUGACAUGGGGACGGCAUCAAAACUUUG